GUGGGGAGGAGGCACCGCGCCAGCCGGGCCCCAGUGCGGCGGCGGCGGCAGCGGCAGCGGGAGGAGGCGAAGCAGCGCCGCGCAGCCCGGACCCGCCGCCGCUCGGCUCAGCCGCCAGCCGGCUCCCCGCGCCCGCCCGCUCAUGCCGGUGUGGUGCUGCCGCUGCUCCCUGGCCCGCCACUUCAGUAGAAAUUACAGUGGCCCUGAAAGCGAAGGACAACUGUUGAGCUCCUUAGUGCAGCAUUUUGGUGACAGCCUUGGGAGGAAAGAUAAAAGAAUGCCCUUACUAGAAGAAACCACUCUGACUGGGGACCCGCUCCUGACUGUGCCAGUAGUGGUAAUAGGGAAUGGACCUUCAGGAAUUUGUCUUUCUUACAUGCUGUCUGGGUAUAGGCCAUAUUUGUCUCCUGAAGCUGUACAUCCAAAUCCCAUUUUGCAUAGUAAAUUAGAAGAAGCUAGACCUCUCUCUAUUGUUGACCAAGAUUUAGAAUACUUGUCUGAAGGUCUUGAAGGACGUUCUUCCAAUCCAGUUGCAGUACUUUUUGAUACACUGCUUCAUCCAGAUGCUGACUUUGGCUAUGAUUACCCACCUGUUCUGCACUGGAAGCUAGAACAGCAUCAUUAUAUCCCACACAUAGUGCUUGGCAAAGGACCACCUGGUGGAGCUUGGCAUACUAUGGAAGAUUCUAUGUUGACAAUCAGUUUUGGAGACUGGAUGGAGUUACCAGGACUGAAGUUUAAGGAUUGGGCAGCUAGUAAACGCAGAAGUAUAAAGAGUGACAGAGUUAUGCCAGAAGAAAUAGCUUGUUAUUAUAAACAAUAUGUUAAAGUCAUGGGCCUCCAGAAGAACUUCAGAGACAAUGCUUACAUAACAUCUGUUUCAAGACUUUACCGAGAACAGGAUGACGAAGAUGAAAGCCAAGUGAGUGAAGAUAUUUCAACACAGCAUUUGCAAAUGGAAAAGGAAGAUGUACAGUCAUCACUGAUCAAGAGAAAUUGGGAAGUCAGAGGUUAUCAGAGAACAACAGAUGGCUCUCAGGUGCCCUUCUGCCUCUUUGCUGAGAAUGUGGCUCUUGCGACUGGAACUUUUGAUUCUCCUGGCCGACUACAGGUUGAAGGAGAAGAAUUUCCUUUUGUGUUUCAUUCCAUGUCUGACUUUGGAGCUGCCAUCAGCAAAGGAAAACUACGUGGGAAAGUAGACCCUGUCUUAAUCGUGGGUGCUGGACUCUCAGCAGCUGACGCAGUACUGUGUGCUUACAACAAUAACAUCCCUGUAAUUCAUGUUUUUCGUAGAAGGGUUACUGAUCCAAGUUUAAUUUUCAAACAGCUGCCUAAAAAGCUUUAUCCUGAAUACCAUAAGGUCUAUCAUAUGAUGUGUGCUCAGUCACAUGCUGUGGACUCUAAUCUGCAUUCUGCUUACACCAGUUUUCCUGAGCACCGUGUACUUUCCUUCAAGCCAGACAUGAAAUGUGUCCUACAGAGUGCCUCUGGAUUGAAGAAAAUCUUCAAGUUCUCCGUAGCCUUAGUACUGAUAGGUUCUCACCCUAAUUUGUUCUUUCUAAAGGACCAUGGUCAGGGGAUAGGUCAUAGCCCAAACCAGCCAAUCACAUGCAAGGGUAAUCCUAUUGAGAUUGAUCCAUAUACUUACGAGUGCACUAAGGAAGCCAAUCUUUUUGCAUUAGGCCCACUGGUUGGAGACAAUUUUGUACGGUUUUUAAAAGGAGGUGCACUGGGCAUUGCACGAUGUUUGGCUACAAGACAAAAGAAGAAACAUCAACUAAUUGUUGAAAGAGGCAGCGGUGGGGAUGGGGUCCCCUAAAACAUGCGGUCAUAUAAACUUUCAUAUAUGGAAUUGCAGGCAUACUCUAACAAGCAACACAUUGACAGCUAAAUUCAUUAGUAGCCUCUUUUUUGUUAUGUAUACAAGUCACGCUUGUAUUGCCUGGUAGAGGAUGCUGACACUACGCUACUUCAUCCCUUUCAAAAGACGGAAGUGUGGUCUGCUGUUUUAAGUGCUCUGUCCCCCAACUGGAAUUUCUUCCAGAUAGACAGCAAAUGAGACUAACUUACAUUGACUUGCCUGUGGUCUCUUGCUCAAAGGAAAGAGCACACUUACGCUCUGGAAAGAGAACGUCUGCCCAAGCACUGCCUUUUCUUCUUACUGUUUCACCAAACAAAAUAUACUUAUCGUGAAAGUAUAAAUCGAAGUUAAGUUGUAAGAGCAGAAAGCUUUCCUUGUGAUGAUCUUUGGUCUCAAAGCAAGUGUGUGUAUUUUGAACAAGGAUUAUAUUUAUUUUGCCAUAGUAAUACUGGCAUUUGUAUAAAGGUUUAUUUAGCCCUUAGUAAAGCAGUCUUUACAAGAAACGAAGAGGAUUUCUACAAGUAGAAAAAGAUUGGCUUAACAGUUAAACCAGAUCCAUCAUAAUUUGGUACUGGGAUAAAAGAGAGAACAGCAUUCCUUUAAGCUUAGUUGCUAAUUUGACAAUCCACUAACGUUUUUGUCAAGUGUAUGCCUACACUUCCAUAAGUGCAUAAGGACCAUAAUAUAGGGAUUUUAUAGAGAUCUAUUCUCUAUUACACUGCUAUGUAACUUUCCAAGAAUAUUCUGGUUUACAGUAAAAUAAUAAAGUGCUGAUGUAAGUGCUCUUACGACAGUGUCAAGAUAGUGAAUACCUAAUUUACUUUUGAAAAAAAAUCUGUUUGAAAAGGAAAUAUUGUUGAGAAGUAACUGUAAAACCUGUAAACAAUUUUUCUCACAAUACCGCUAAAGAAGACUGAAUAGGAUCUCUUAUCAGGUGGAGAUAGAGAGCAGACGCUCCCAUCUUCCCUUACUAAGUCCAAGCACCAGCUCCUGCUCUUUUCUAAGACCAGUAGCAGUUCAUGUGCUUUGAAGGGAAUGCUGGACCUACUCACCUGGCAACCCACUAGAAGAGUUCAUCCAAAGUUGUAGAAAAUUUAAAUCCUAAAUGUAAUCAUUCAACCCAGCUUUGAGAUUAGUUUUUUUUUGUUUGUUUGUUUUUUUUACACCUGUCACCCUAAGGGGAGAAAAUGGAAUCUAUUUACUGGGAACCUGCUCUAAGAUAAGUAAACUGAAUACAGCUGGAUAGGAUGAUUUAGUGUAAUCAUAACUGGAAGAAAGACAAUUGGCAUUCUUCUCGAUGGUCUUCACUGAUGGCAAGAAAUGAGCAGUGAGGAACAAUAGGGAGAGAAAGUAGGAAAGAUGACCUAGGAAAGAUUCCCCUAUGAUCCUGGAGGGUUUAAAUUGGGACCAGAGACUGGAGUAUCGCCCUCCUGAAGGAGGUCUCUGCAGAUGCUUGCAAACUGAGUUUGUAGAUCUGGCAAAAGUGGAGAGAUGACUGUAGUGCAGCCUUACAUCUCUCUCCCUACUAAGGCUAAAGUUCUGACCAGCAUGUUGCCAUGCUCCAUGACAAAUAAGCCUAGACGUCUUUGGAUGCUGCAUUUCUGGAAGCCUUGCAUUUUCUACUAUGUAACAGUGAAUCCAUCUGGUUCCUGAAGCUGCAAAAGACUUGUUAAACUUUGUAUUUAGAAUGAAAAACAAUGUGGAAGAGUUUCUCGGUACGACUUGUGGCUGUUUUUGAACUGAGCUGACAAAUGGGAGCACAUAACCUCAACUGGGGAGAGAAAGAGCAUUUGGAAUAAAACUGGGAGACGGUUUAAGAACUGUUUUGCCUUCCUGAAAGAGGAAAAAGUGUCUUACUUGAAAGAGCUAUACUAUCUGGGACUCUAAAGUGAUGGCAACUGAAACAUGCAAGGCUUUGUUGACAUUAGCAUUCAAAUGGAGUCCAAGUAAUGGUGUUGAAGAUGCCAUUCUGGUCCUUGCAGGGGAAAUUGUGAAAAGGGCUUUAAGAAGUUUGGCAAGUUUGAGGAUGAUAGAGGCCAAGGAAGAUCUGGAUUUAAAACACUGAGGGCAGAAAGUUGCACCUUCGAGGAGUUAAAGCUGAGACCUAUGGACAGAUCUUCAUGCAACAGUUGAAUAAUAGCCAGCAUCCCUGGGGCUAUUUUUUAUUUCUCCCCUUAGAAAAAUUUCUUUGUGCCAAGACUUUCUUUCUAGAUGAGUGCAAUGUAAAGAUAAUUUGUCCAGAAUAUCUCAAGUCAGAUAACAGCUUAGAGACAGAGGGAGAAAUAUUAAGCCCAGGUCAGAGGGGAAGCGGUGAGACCAAAAAGGAGGGCUACCAUAGCUGAUGUAUGCUACUAGAAUUACUGUCCCAUCCACCUAGUAUUUUUGUACUAUUUUUGUGUCUUGGAGGAAUGUGGAAAAUGCAUAGCAAAGAUUGUGACCACUGAUGUGACAGAAUAUGCAUCCCAGAGGAAUCUGAGUUCUCUCUGGAAAAAUAUUAAUCCCUUUAGCUUUUUGUCAGGUUGCAGACAGGUCUGCCUGGGGCUGUCCUAGCUCUGUCUGGAGUAGAAGACCCAUUCCAUUUGGCUUAUUGAUUGCCUGUGGAGCCAGUUUGUGUUGAUGAUGCUUGAGAGUGGUUAAGGACAGAGAUGAAAGACGAGGGGUAAAAUUUUCAAAAGCACCUACAUAGAUAAGGGCUUUGAAGGUAAGGACCAAAUAUUUGUCUUCGAUAUAGUGGAAAAAGGGGAGCCAGAGGAAGGAUUUGAAGCAUAGUGCCAGGAUCAACUAGGAAACAGCUUGGCAGCAGUGUUCUGAAUGGACCCAAGGUGGUUGUAGUUAAAGUUAGUGAGGAGGUGGUUCCAAUAGUCAAGUCAUGAGAUUAAACAAGAGGUUUGACAAUCUGAACAAGGAAAAGGUUGGUUCUUAAAGAUAUUGAAAUGGAGAAAUUUCAAGAUUUGAAUAUAGCUUGAUUACAAGGGUUCAGAGAGGGAAGUGUUGAAAGUCUUGGAUGUUGGCAGGAACAAUGGAGCUCGGUCUUUGCCAUGUUCAAUUUAAGUUACCAGAUCAGCCAAGACAGUGAUUCUCAAUCUUUCCAGACUACUAUACCCCUUUGAGUCUGAUUUGUCUUGCAUACCCCCAAGUUUCAUCUCACUUAAAAACUACUUGCUUACAAAAUCAGACAUAAAAAUACAAAGUGUCACCGCACACUAUUACUGAAAAAUUGCUCACUUUCUCAUUUUUACCAUACAAUUAUAAAAUUGGAAUAUAAAUAUUGUACUAACAUUUCAGUGUAUAUUGUACAGAGCAGUAUAAACAAAUAAUUGUCUGACAUUUUAGUUUGUACUGACUUCACUAAUGCUUUUUAUGUAGCCUGUUGUAAAACUAGGCAAAUAUCUAGAUGAGUUGAUGUACCUCCUGAAUACCUCUGAGUACCGACCGGGGCACACGUACCGCUGGUUGAGUACUACUGAGCCAAGAUGUGGAAUAGGUUCUGAGUAGUGAGGCACAUAUUUGAGUCAUAAGCACAAAGAUGGUGGUCAGAGCCUAUGAAAGUGGGUAAGAUUGCCUAGACAUUUCAUCCAGGCUGUGGAGCACAAAGGACAGAUAUGUGGGAAACAGCUAUUGAAAGAGAGGGGAAGGAGAAGAAAGACCCAGCAAACAACAUGCUGAAGGGAAUAAACAUAGUAGCAAAGGAGAGCCAUGGAAGCCAAUGGCUAACAGGAUUUCAAAUACUAGAUGGUCAUAAAGUGUCAAAAGGAGAGUGAAGAUGGAGCAGAAGCCCUUAGCUUUGUCCAGGAAGAGGACAGUGGAAUGAAGAGGGUAGAAGAUGGGUAUUUCAGGAAAUGAUUGAAAAUGCGGUUCACUCAGUUUGGGAGUUUGGGCAAUAAUUGGAAAGGCAAGUGAGGUCAAGGUUGGGGUGUUUAAGAUGGAGACUAAAGGAUGCUUAUAUUGUGCAGGGAAGAAAAGUGAGAAUGGAGCCAAAGAGGGUGAGAAGUGGGAUGGGAUGGGGUCCCGGGAGCAGAUGAAAAGGCUAGAGAACAGCCAAGAAACCUUAGUGGUAGCAAGUGGGUGAUAAGGGCCUGCUGGUGAUCAUGUCUAAGACCUGAGAUACCUGCCAGACUGCAUGGAGAGGUGGAGGGGAAGCGCAGCACAAGCACUAGACUGCCUGAGGAGGGAUGGGGGAGAGCACAGCUUUGAAAUUUUUUGAUGACGCACUGUGCUGGUCAUCGAAGCACUCACCUAGGAUGUGGGAGAACUGGGUUCAAAAACCUGCUCCAGAGCACAUCCCGCUUCCCAGGUGAGUAACUGCUGGGCUAGGACUCUCUCUCUCUCUCUCCCCUAUUGGAGCAGUUCUACUGUAUACAUAAUUAAAUAUUCAUUGGAGCAGGGACUUGAAUCUGAGUCUCCCACAUCCCAAGUGAGUGCCCUUACCAAUGGGCUAUAGUCAGUCUCUCUCUGUGACCUAAUGAAUAUUUAUUUAUACAAGAACAGCUCUUGACAUGAGAUACUGAGACUCACUUCAGAAUACCCUAUAGCCUGGUGGUUAGGGCAUUCACCUGGCUUCAAGUUCCUGCUCUGAAUUAUGCAUGCUUCCAGUUGUCUUUAGUGACAGGUAUCAGGUCUUAAGUGUGCUCAGAGCCUAUGGGAUCAGGCCCUGGUAGCAAGAUAGCUUUGAGAAUCCUGCUUUGGAGCUCAACUUGAGUUAGGAGUCCAAUCCACAAUGUGGUGUCAGCAUUUAGGCACUUGAGUCCCCUAGGCUCCUAUUAGGUUAGAUGGCAGCUGACUGGGGGCUUUGCAGAAUACCAAUGGUCCCUAAAAUGUUGGACUUAGGUAUCUAAAUGCCUUUGUGAAUCUGGGCCAUUAGCCCUGUUUCACAGGUAGGGAAACUGAGGCACAGAGCAAUGAAUGGACUUGACCAAGGUCCCCUAGCAGGUCAGGGGCAGAGCUGAGAUCUCCUGACUACCACUGCUCCCACUGAUAACCUUUUCUUCAUCACCUCAACUUUGUCAAGAAUAAUUAUUCUCUCUCUUCCUUGGUUCACAAGCAUCCCCCUUCCCAUACAGAGAAUGAAGUUUUAGUCUUGCGGCUUUUGGAGGACUUCUGCUUAUUUUUCUUGGACAGAGCCCUUUUCUGUUUGGACAAGGAGUUAAGAAAUGGCAUUUCUCCUCAUUUGAAGAUAAGUAACCUGUGCAGAAGGAAACUUUCCCAGAAGAGGAAUAGAAAAAGGGAUGAAUGCUCAUUACAGCCACAAAAUAAAUCAGUAAAAUCAGGCUCCCUGAACAUGCAGAGCUACUGGCAGGUUGAGCAAUUCUUAGCAUUCUCUUCAACGUGCUUGAGCUGUAUCUGUCCUAAGGAAGACGUGUGCAAGCCAUUUGUGAACGAUGAUGGAGAUGUGUGUUUAAAAAAAAAAAAGCCUUCUCAAUUUCAUCUCGUGCCUUUUUCCACACCAUGUGAAAGAGCUGUGUCUUCUUUAUAAGCCAAAUACUGCGGCCACACAUGAGUACAUUUACACAUGGGAAUAGUUCCCUUAACAAGUGCUUUAACUUGAAGCACUAGGGCCUAUACAUAUAUACUUUUAAUUUGUUAGUAGUGCUUACUGAGAUUAUAGAAAUAGAGGUGAAGUGGGUUUUGAAAAGAUUCCUAGUGCCUAUGAUGACUUAAUACAAAUGGUCCCAAUAAAUAGGUAAGCAGGUUUUGAUUCUAACUCUUAUUCCUACUGGAACAGAACAAAUGAUGAAAGUUUAAAAAUGGAUAUUUGAGGUGAUCUGAUUUCAUUGAAGUUUUGUUUAAAAUGAAUAUUUUCAUUAUAAAAUAGUACAGUAACUUCACUUAUGAAUUUGGUACAUGCCAAUACUGAAAAGCUCAGGCUCUCCUCAGCUUUGAAGACACCAACUUUGAAAAUAGCAGCAGACUGUUUAACAAUUUGAGAAGUCAAGGAUUUAUGUUAGAUCUCUCAUUCACUGGUUGGGGUGAAGGCCUAAGAGCCAGACUCGUAGGGUAUAAUGUAUUCAUAAUGGCUCAUCACAUAACUGCCACUCUUGUGAGAGCACUGACUAUUGCUGACAAAGUUAUAUAUUGGAAUCUAGAUCAAGCCUGUUAUGAAAAAGCAGUAUCUGGGUGUUUAAAAAAACCUCUGACUACUUGGCAUGUAAAAAUAAAUGUAUGUUUGAUAGCUGGCUACAUACGACAGCUGUAACCUACAUUGAUCAUUUCAAGGUGGCAGUAACCAUCUUGCUAACACAUGGAAUCUCUCUUAUUGGACCAAUGUCUGUUGAUGAGAGACAAGGUUUUGAGCUACACAGAACUCUGGGAAAGAAGCAAAACUCUGUGUAGCUCAAAAGCUUGUCUUUUAUUGGACCAACUUCUGUUGGUGAAAGAGAUUACCUCACCCCCACCUCUCAUGGCUACAACAACACUGUAAACUACCUACAGUAGUUUAAACAGUGGUUUAAAACAAACAAACAAAUUCCCCUUAACCUUAAGGUGACUUAACUUCAGCACCUGUAUGCAUUUCUGCAACAGAACUGGCUCUGUUAUUUAAAGUGAAAUUUUAUAAGCCUCUUUUAACGUGAUGCAAGGUUUUAUUUUAAAUGUUACCUAUGACUCUGCCCAUAUUAGGUUUGAAAUAGUAGCCACAGCAGUAUGAAUGAUUGUGGAGGGCAGAAUUCUAAAACUUUCCUGCCCACUAUAGACAGGGAUUUUAUUCUGACACCUAUGUUAUCCAACUGGUAAACAGCAUUGUUGUUAGUAUGCUCAGAAUAAAAUCUCUCUCCACACCAGGUGAAGGAAAGCUCAUCUAGAACCUGCUAGCCAUGAUUUGACUUGUGGUUAACAGGUCUGGUUAACUUUUUAUUCACAUGGUGCACAGCAUUAGAUGUAUUCAAAGAAACUUAAGAGGUCUGUGGAUUGCAGCAGCGUUCACACUUGUGAUUUCUUUUUUGAUUACUGUUCAAGACGACUGCCCAACUUAUUCAGAGUCAGAAAAUGAGGUUACUGCCCCCACCAUGUCUGUUUUAUGUAGUUUAUGUAUUUGUGCUUUGAGCCCUAUUGUACAGCAAAUUAUUACUGUUAUACAAAAAGCUAAACAAAUUAACCGGGUCUUUUUUCAGAACAAUAGAGUAAUAGCAGAAGUGUAUCUCAAACCAACAGAAGAAAGCUUGAAGUGAAGCCGUAAAUAUCUAGAAAGUUGUACUAUAGCACUGCUUUAAAGCAAAUGAGUUUAAAGUCUUGAAACCAGAAAUGUGGACUCUCUAAAUGCCAAAACAAUGUAAAACUGGUUCUGUUUUCCUUUAAUAAAAGCAGGACUUAAAACAACUCUUACAGAUAAUUUAGACUUCCCAUAUAUAUUGUACACUGGAACCAGCAACCAGGGUAUCAAGAUUUUGCUGUAGGUUCAUUGUAAAUUCUCUUGAAUUUAUCUUCUCCUUUUCACAUUAGGAUCAUAUCUGCAGUAAGAGGGGGAAAAAAUGUUAUAAGUAAACAGAUACCAACUAUUUAUUUCAGAUAUUCAAAGCUAAAAUGUUUGAUUUUAAACAGUUAAAAGUUGACAUUUCCUUUUCUGAUAGGGUCAGGAGUACCCUCUACUCCCACCUAAGUCAACAGAUGUUGAGGGCGUUCAGCCUCUUGCAGCACUGUUUUUUAUUGCCAGUAAAAUAAAGAGAGUUACACCUGGA